GCCAGCGUGGCAGAGUGGUUUGAGUGUUGGACUUUAACUCUGGAGACCGGGGUUCGAGUCCCAGCAUGGCCA